AACAGGAUUAGAUACCCUGGUGGUCCACGCUGUAAACGAUGUCGACUUGGAGGUUGUGCCCUUGAGGCGUGGCUUCCGGAGCUAACGCGUUAAGUCGACCGCCUGGGGAGUACGGCCGCAAGGUUAAAACUCAAAUGAAUUGACGGGGGCCCGCACAAGCGGUGGAGCAUGUGGUUUAAUUCGAUGCAACGCGAAGAACCCUACCUACUCUUGACAUCCAGAGAAUUUGCUAGAGAUAGCUUAGUGCCUUCGGGAACUCUGAGACAGGUGCUGCAUGGCUGUCGUCAGCUCGUGUUGUGAAAUGUUGGGUUAAGUCCCGCAACGAGCGCAACCCUUAUCCUUUGUUGCCAGCACGUAAUGGUGGGAACUCAAAGGAGACUGCCGGUGAUAAACCGGAGGAAGGUGGGGAUGACGUCAAGUCAUCAUGGCCCUUACGAGUAGGGCUACACACGUGCUACAAUGGCAUAUACAAAGAGAAGCGAACUCGCGAGAGCAAGCGGACCUCAUAAAGUAUGUCGUAGUCCGGAUUGGAGUCUGCAACUCGACUCCAUGAAGUCGGAAUCGCUAGUAAUCGUAGAUCAGAAUGCUACGGUGAAUACGUUCCCGGGCCUUGUACACACCGCCCGUCACACCAUGGGAGUGGGUUGCAAAAGAAGUAGGUAGCUUAACCUUCGGGAGGGCGCUUACCACUUUGUGAUUCAUGACUGGGGUGAAGUCGUAACAAGGUAACC
rnacentral:rRNA from 1 species